UACGUAGGGGGCAAGCGUUGUCCGGAUUUAUUGGGAGUAAAGAGUGUGUAGGCGGCAAUAUAGGUGAGAUGUGAAAACUCGAGGCUCAACCUCGAGACGUCGGUUGAAACCGUGUGGCUAGAGUCCGGAAGAGGAGAGUGGAAUUCCCGGUGUAGCGGUGAAAUGCGCAGAUAUCGGGAAGAACACCCGUGGCGAAGGCGGCUCUCUGGGACGGUACUGACGCUGAGACGCGAAAGCGUGGGGAGCGAACAGG
rnacentral:rRNA from 1 species